rnacentral:snRNA from 1 species
UCACUUUGGUAGUACAUACAUAAAAACUGGAAUAAUACAGAGAAGAUUAGCAUGACUCCUUGGCAAGGAUGGCAUGCAGAUUCACGAAGAAUGACAAAAUUUU